rnacentral:rRNA from 1 species
GACGAACGCUGGCGGCGUGCCUAAUACAUGCAAGUUGAGCGCUGAAGGUUGGUACUUGUACCAACUGGAUGAGCAGCGCACGGGUGAGUAACGCGUGGGGAAUCUGCCUUUGAGCGGGGGACAACAUUUGGAAACGAAUGCUAAUACCGCAUAAAAACUUUAAACACAAGUUUUAAGUUUGAAAGAUGCAAUUGCAUCACUCAAAGAUGAUCUCGCGUUGUAUUAGCUAGUUGGUGAGGUAAAGGCUCACCAAGGCGAGGAUGCAGAGCCGAACUGAGAGGGUGGUCGGCCACAUUGGGACGGAGACACGGCCCAAACGCCUACGGGAGGCAGCAGUAGGGAAUCUUCGGCAAGGGACGGAAGUCUGACCGAGCAACGCCGCGGGAGGGAAGAAGGAUGUCGGAUCGGAAAACUCUGUUGGUAGGGAAGAACGUUGGUGAGAGUGGAAAGCUCAUCAAGUGACGGUAACUACUCAGAAAGGGACGGCUAACUACGUG